GGAGACUGGAAGAGAAGCCGUGGGGAGAACGUGGAGGCUGACGCUAAGAUCCCACUCUGCGUAUUUACAGCAUGCUGAGAUUGUCUUACAGGAUGCUGGCUACAUCUUGGGGUAAAAAGCUCUUCCACCAACUGGACACAUUAAACUUUAGAAAAGCCAUCCCACAGAUAAGGACAAUGGCUUCGCUUUUGCCAAGAAGCAACACUCCAAUACAGUUCCUCCUGAGGUGGCUUCUGAAACAGAUGGAAUGAUGGAAAGUUUAUAGACAACUAUAACAGAGUCUACAUUGUUCUGGUAGGAGCCCUCACCGAAUUACCACUAUGAAGGAGAGCAUUUGGAGAAAAUGGUCCUCAAGGACAUCGCCACUUUCUGACAUAGUGAAAAGGGAAGAAAUGUUUCUAAAGAAGGGAGAAAAUCAAAUGAAAGUCACCCCAGAAGAACACCAUCUGGCCUGCAAGAUGUGUGGGGAAAGAAGAUUCAUGUGCAGAGGGAAACACAGUUUUUCCAAAUCAAAAAUGAACCCCCCCACUACCUAAAGUAGGUCAUUCAUCAUAGUCAAUUCCAAGACACCAUGCUUCUUAUCUCUUACUUCUAAUUUAGCUUCUCUUUGCUGACAUAAGUGUAUGUAUUGAAAGCGAAUUCCCUUCUCACCUCAGUAUGGUUUAUAUUUGUGCUGUAACUAGAUGGCUUCAUCAUAAGGAUGAUGUCAUGGGGCAUAUGCUUCUCAACUGUAACAUCAUCUUUUGAACUGAAAAAUGAAGGAGAUGCACAUUUGAACUCAUUUUUGAACUGUACAUACAAAAACAAACACAAAACAACCCCCCCCCAAAUAGUAUAUUAAGUCAUAGCUGCCUCUAGCAUCAGCCUAAAAGUUGAAAUCAUAUUUAGUUAGAGAAAGUGAACAAUUUUUUUUAACCUUGGUAGUUAUGAUAUUUGGGUCUAGAUAAUGUUAAAAGAGUAUUUAUUGUCGUGCUGGCAAUCUGAGCUGUCAACUUGACAGAAUAUAGACAGGCUUCUGAACACACUGAUGUGAGAUUAUCUAGGUUAAAUGAGGUGGGAAGACUCACUUAAAUGUGAACAAUAGCAUCCAUGGGCUUUGGAUCCUGGACAGAACACGAAGGACAAAGGGAGCUGAAGACUGGUGGUCAUCAUUCUCCUUCUCCGAUUACACACUUCAAAAGACCAACUGUCAUGACGGCGUGUACCCUUGAACCAUGGACCAAAUUAAACUCUUUCUGCUUUAAGUUCCCUUUACCAGAGUAUUUUAUCCCUGCAAAAACAAAAGUAAUUAACGCAGAGCUUCUGUAUGUCUCCCGUGGUCAAAAUCAUCCACUGUUGAAAAUUACUCUAUCAGAAUUUGACCUUACCCCAUAGGGAAGUUCAGAAAUUAGGAUCUACCCAUUUCGUAAAGGCAUGUCAAUAAGAGUCCUUCUUGACUGGGCUUGUAAAAGGGGUUUUAGAGUGACAAGACUACUGGGGAUGAGGAGGGAAGUGUUGGGUCUGGCAUGGCUGCGUGAGGGGAGGUGUGAUGUACCUGCGGCUGGAGCAUUGCCAGGCCUUUGCUGAUAGUUGCUGUUGUCCUAAAGCUGAUCUGCUCCCUUUACUACUUUACUUGUAAUCUAUUUGGGGGGAAAUACAGUUCCCCCAUUACUUAAAGCUGAUCUUGCCGUGAUAAAUGAAACAGAUGCUGUUCCCAAGAAUGAGGAAUGGAGAUGGUCAUGAGGCUGUGGAGGACAAGGAACAGGUCUUCCACUUGGCCUUUAGGGACAUGGCAACGAAUCUAGAUGCCAUACCACAGAGGCUCUAAAAGCCUACAUGGGCCGU
rnacentral:sRNA from 1 species